CCAAACACGCUCCUCUCUCAAACUUUCUCGAAAGUUGUUGAAACCCCAAUCGCCUUCUACCAUUUUCAAUCGCAAUCUCACCAGAAUUCAUGGCCUCUUAGGCCAUGGAUGGCCUACGGUCACCUCCCUAUUAUCUUAAAUGCUUGGUGUUUGAAGUUUUGAGGUCUGACCUCGAGGGUGUCCGUUCAGAUCUUCUCCGAUUCAAGGUUCUAUUGUUUCUUCGGCUUUGCUCCGUCAUAUCCAAAGCGUUUCGAGCCUGGUUCAGACUCAUACGAGUUAAAUCGGACCUAUUCCAACUCUUUAGGGUUCCUUUAAAACCCUAGCUAUCCGAGGUUUUCUCUGAUUAUCUUCUUAGAUUGGUUCUAUAUUUGUGCUCUACUUGAGUUUUAAAACGUUUUCCCCAAUUUUUCUUUCAAGAAUUACUUCUCUCCGACUUAGGGUUCUGAAAAACUCAAAAGGUUUUCUCUGAGUGUUCUUUUCCUUUUUCUUUGUGUAUAUUUGUCACGCAUGUAUUUCUACUGCUUUCUUAUGUUUUGCUACUAUAUAUGUUCUUUUGUGCCUUGUCUUUCUAUUUUUGUUUCUACACCAUGCUUACAUGUUCGUCCUACCAUGUUUUCCUAUAUGUCUUGUUGAUAUAAUUUUUGUAUUCUUCUACUGAGUUCUUAAGUUCUUUUCUUGCCUUUUUACUGGACUCUUGUUUUAGUUCUCUUUAAACAUGUUUCGUCUACUGUUUUUUUAAGUGCUAUACUACCUCUUCUCUUUUUUGGACUUGUUUAAAUACCAUGUUUUCUUAAACAUGCUCUUUCUACCCCCUCCCUACUAUGUUCCAAAUUAGUUUCUUCACUUUAUUGUUUCAAACUCGCUAUUGUAUCUGUUUGUUGUUUGUCUCCUCAUCUCUGUAUCUUAUUUGAGUUGUAAACUCUAGAAUCUGGGGGUUUGGUCAAGUUUGAUCUUGUGUCUGGACUAGGAUUCUGUUUUGGAACCCUCGACUCUUUCACACUCAUUCUGAAUCUACGAGCUAAGUUGAACUUCUGUGUUUAGAACUACGAACUUUUUUCUAUGCUAUACUCUUCUACUGAUUGGCACGACCGUUCUUCAUGCUUGAGCAUGGCUGUAUGUUUUAUAUGUGUGAUGAAUUAUUUCUUUCAAGAAGGUUUUCCAACUUAUGAUUAAUUCAGAAUCCCUUUAUUUAGGUUUAAUCGAUUGUUAUUGAUUUUUCUUUAAGUAAAACCCUUCUCCACAUUUUCUGACUGUAUUCAUCCAUAGAUUUCUUUUCCUUAUUUGCACAAACCGUGUGCUUCAUGACUUUUCCUUAAGUAUACCUCUAUGUAUUACCCCCAUUGUACUGUUUUGAAAAGAUGUUUGGUUCUUUUCUUUCCUUAAUUACUUUUACCUGUUUGAAGUCAGAAUCCCUUACCUAAAGGGAGACCUUGUUAAAUUGAUUUUAAAAUUAUUUUCUUACCUAUUAUUUCUUGCUUUCUACACUAUAAAUACAUGACCUUCUUUAACACGUUAUAUACAGUUAAUACGACCAACUUUCAAUCACACUACCAUUCAACACUUUUACACUUCACAAGACUACUGCAUUCUUCUUUUGUUCCCCUGAAACAGGUAUUUUCCAGUUUAGUUUUCAGCCUCAUCCCUAUGUGUUUAUUUUUCAGCUUCCACGAUCCUAUCUAUUUUGCUUUCUAUGCUUAGUAUUAAAUAUGUAUGUUGUUCUCUUUGCGCUCGCUUCUGCUAUAAAUCCAUGUACCCCUAUUCCCUCUAUGUGUUUGAGUUAAAGUUCAGAACAUGGCAACAUCCAAAUUGUUGCUCAUGUCAGGACUUGAUCCUUUAAGGGGUCCUAACUCCCAAACAUUGUGGCUAACAGGCUAGUUGGGGUGUGCCAGCACCUCCAAUUGUUGGGUAUGGCCACCAGUCUGUCUUGAAUUUCCCUAGAAUCCCCUUUAUUCCACUCACACUCUCUCCUAGCUUCUAAGUUCUGCCCUCUCCUAUGAGCCUUGCUUUGGGACCUUGAGUUUCUCUGAACUUGGACAUUUGAGGGUUGGCCCUUCCACACUACACUGUAAUUCAAUGCUGUAAUGAAUUUGGGUGUAAGUACUGCCCGGAGUCUAUAAGGCUCUUGAGAAUUCUGACACACCCAAAAAUGAGAAAGGCUUUGGAAAUUUGAUCUUUG
rnacentral:lncRNA from 1 species